UACGUAGGGGGCAAGCGUUGUCCGGAAUCAUUGGGCGUAAAGCGCACGUAGGCGGCCCGAUAAGUCCGCUGUGAAAGUCCAGGGCUCAACCCUGGAAAGCCGGUGGAUACUGUCGGGCUAGAGUCCGGAAGAGGCGAGUGGAAUUCCUGGUGUAGCGGUGGAAUGCGCAGAUAUCAGGAGGAACACCAAAGGCGAAGGCAGCUCGCUGGGACGGUACUGACGCUGAGGUGCGAAAGCGUGGGGAGCGAACAGG
rnacentral:rRNA from 1 species